CGCGGCCUAUCAGCUUGUUGGUGGGGUAACGGCCCACCUAGGCGACGACGGGUAGCCGGCCUGAGAGGGCGACCGGCCACACUGGGACUGAGACACGGCCCAGACUCCUACGGGAGGCAGCAGUGGGGAAUAUUGCACAAUGGGCGAAAGCCUGAUGCAGCGACGCCGCGUGAGGGAUGACGGCCUUCGGGUUGUAAGCCUCUUUCAGCAGGGAAGAAGCGAAAGUGACGGUACCUGCAGAAGAAGCGCCGGCUAACUACGUGCCAGCAGCCGCGGUAAUACGUAGGGCGCAAGCGUUGUCCGGAAUUAUUGGGCGUAAAGAGCUCGUAGGCGGCUUGUCACGUCGGAUGUGAAAGCCCGAGGCUUAACCUCGGGUCUGCAUUCGAUACGGGCUAGCUAGAGUGUGGUAGGGGAGAUCGGAAUUCCUGGUGUAGCGGUGAAAUGCGCAGAUAUCAGGAGGAACACCGGUGGCGAAGGCGGAUCUCUGGGCCAUUACUGACGCUGAGGAGCGAAAGCGUGGGGAGCGAACAGGAUUAGAUACCCUGGUAGUCCACGCCGUAAACGUUGGGAACUAGGUGUUGGCGACAUUCCACGUCGUCGGUGCCGCAGCUAACGCAUUAAGUUCCCCGCCUGGGGAGUACGG
rnacentral:rRNA from 1 species